rnacentral:misc_RNA from 1 species
UGUAGGAGUGAGCCUGCUCGCGAUGGCGCAGUGUCAGUCAACCCUGCUUCAACUGACAGACUGCUAUCGCGAGCAGGCUCACUCCUACA